rnacentral:rRNA from 1 species
UAAGUAGGCGGUGGAAAAUGAACCAAAUGGGAUUCCUUAAGUAAUUGCGAAUGAACAAGGAAAUGCUCAGCUUGAAAAAUGGGGCCUUUGGCUUUGAAUUGUAAUUUUGAAAUGUAUUGCCAAUGGAGGCGCAGGUGCAAGCCUAUUGAAAGAAAGCGUCAAUGAGGGUGAAAUUCCUUUUUGUCAUUUGCAGUCCUCCGUGCACGGUAUAUAUUUGACGAGUCACACUCCUCGGCAUUGGAAUGCAAAGUGGGUGGUAAAUUCCAUGUAAAGGUAAAUAUAUUAUUGAGACUGAUAGCAAACAAGUACCAUGAGGGAAAUAUGAAAAGGACUUUGAAAAGGGAAUUAAAAGAGUCUGCAUUUGCUGAACAGAAAGCAAACAGAAUUGAUGUGCUUGGUGAGAUUGUUGUGCCCACUCUGUCAUUUAUGUCGGAUGUGGGUGCGAUGGUUCUUACCUUGAAUGUCAGCUUCUAUUUCUGCAAAUCAUUACCCUUGCACAUGAAUGGUAAUUUGCCUGCGGGUAUUGGAAUGUGUGUGUUUGCAAUGAUUUGUGAUUUGAUGCAUGUGGUUGGUGGACUUUGUAUGUGCUGUUUUGCCAACGGGGAAGGGACUCUUCCUUGAGCACUGCAAGCCCUUGCAC